CUUUAGCGAGGCUGCGAUGGCGGCGGCACAGGCAGCGAAGAUGUCGCCUGAUCCACCGCUAUCGCAGCCUCGCC
rnacentral:misc_RNA from 1 species